GAUUAAGUUAUUAAGGGCGCACGGUGGAUGCCUUGGCACUAGAAGCCGAUGAAGGACGUUACUAACGACGAUAUGCUUUGGGGAGCUGUAAGUAAGCUUUGAUCCAGAGAUUUCCGAAUGGGGAAACCCAGCACGAGUUAUGUCGUGUUAUCUGCAUGUGAAUACAUAGCAUGCAAGAAGGCAGACCCGGAGAACUGAAACAUCUUAGUACCCGGAGGAAGAGAAAGAAAAAUCGAUUCCCUGAGUAGCGGCGAGCGAAACGGGAAGAGCCCAAACCAAUAAGCUUGCUUAUUGGGGUUGUAGGACACUCUGUACGGAGUUACAAAAGAAUUUGUUAGACGAAUAACCUGGAAAGGUUAAUCAUAGAAGGUAAUAAUCCUGUAGUCGAAAACGAAUUCUCUCUUGAGUGGAUCCUGAGUACGACGGAGCACGUGAAAUUCCGUCGGAAUCUGGGAGGACCAUCUCCUAAGGCUAAAUACUCUCUAGUGACCGAUAGUGAACCAGUACCGUGAGGGAAAGGUGAAAAGUACCCCGGAAGGGGAGUGAAAGAGAACUUGAAACCGUGUGCUUACAAGUAGUCAGAGCCCGUUAAUGGGUGAUGGCGUGCCUUUUGUAGAAUGAACCGGCGAGUUACGAUCUGAUGCAAGGUUAAGCAGAAAAUGUGGAGCCGUAGCGAAAGCGAGUCUGAAUAGGGCGAAUGAGUAUUUGGUCGUAGACCCGAAACCAGGUGAUCUACCCUUGGUCAGGUUGAAGUUCAGGUAACACUGAAUGGAGGACCGAACCGACUUACGUUGAAAAGUGAGCGGAUGAACUGAGGGUAGCGGAGAAAUUCCAAUCGAACUUGGAGAUAGCUGGUUCUCUCCGAAAUAGCUUUAGGGCUAGCCUCAAGUGAUGAUUAUUGGAGGUAGAGCACUGUUUGGACGAGGGGCCCCUCUCGGGUUACCGAAUUCAGACAAACUCCGAAUGCCAAAUAAUUUAACUUGGGAGUCAGAAUGUGGGUGAUAAGGUCCAUAUUCGAAAGGGAAACAGCCCAGACCACCAGCUAAGGUCCCAAAAUAUAUGUUAAGUGGAAAAGGAUGUGGCGUUGCCCAGACAACUAGGAUGUUGGCUUAGAAGCAGCCAUCAUUUAAAGAGUGCGUAAUAGCUCACUAGUCGAGUGACACUGCGCCGAAAAUGUACCGGGGCUAAACAUAUUACCGAAGCUGUGGAUUGUCC
rnacentral:rRNA from 1 species